ensembl:lncRNA
AACAAUGCCCAGCAUGAGGUAAGUGGAAAGUGUUGGGGAUGCAGUGGCUGGGGCCUGACUCUCAGCCUCCCACCCAGGGCUGGGUGACCUUGGGCCUGGAUGAAUAAUGGAUUGUCACCGGAUAGCCAUCUCUUCACUCUCCUGUGAAGCAGAGGGAAUCGCUUCGUCUUCAAAGCGCUGCUGGGAUGCUCUGUCCACUGCCCCUGCUCUGCGGUCAAAGCUUACAGCAUUGGAAGCUGUGGGACGCCCAGGGUGGCCUGCUGCAACACUGGCCACCCAGUCGACUGCUGGGAAUACACCUCCCUCCACUCUUUGGUGUUCUUGGGAAUUUGUCUAAGAACUACUCCGGGGCUCUUUGGCAUGAGUCUGCCCAUGUAGAAGGAGCCAUUUUCCUCCUGAGCUCCUAGGCAAAGCAUUGUUUGUCACCUGGAAUCUGUCACACGGGCUGUGGCUGCGUCACUGCCUGGUGCUCCCUGCAUGCAACAUCCUUUCUGUUUCUAACAAUGACAGGCUUUAAUCUCUCCGGAAAAUGCCUCCAUCUCCAGCUGGGGCUCUCCCAGUCCCUUUAGUCCUCAGGCCUGGGACUGUCAGUCUCUAUCUAUUUCCGACCCCUUGCCCUUUGCUUUCUCUUGAAUUUCCUGAGGCGUUUCCUUCUCCCGUCAGACACUUUAUAGAUUUCACAUUUUCUGUUGUGUUGAUUUUCGUUUGCUGCCUCUUGGGGACCAAGAUUUAAAACCCCACUACUCCCUCCUUUUUCACUGCUCACAGGGCUCAUUUAUUUCCUUUUCUUUUUUGUGGUGCUAGGGAUUGAAUCCAGGGCUGUGUGCAUGCCACCCAAGCACUCUAUCACCGAGCUACGUCACCAGCCAUAUCUAGCUAUUUACUUUCUCUCAUCGCUUUUCUCAAAGAAACAUAAGAAAAAAGUGCUUACAAAAAAACUCACACCAUUUAACUGGAGGCAUUAAGAUUAAGAAAUACAAAAGAAAAAAGAUUAAGAAAUACAGAGCUUUGGGUGGCAUGAGAUUGCACAUGCUUGAGGUGGUGACAUGUGCCAACGCUCCCAGAGGCUGAGGCAGGAGAAUCAAAAGUUUGAGCCCAGCCUAGGCAAUUUAGCAACUUAGUAAGACUUUGUCUCAAAAAAAAAAGACCGGGGCUGUAGCUCAGUGAGACCCUAGAAUCCAUCCCUAAUCCCACCAAAGAGGGGCCGGGGAUUUGGCUCAGUAGUUUACCUGCCUGCCUAAUGCCACCCAAAAAAAGGAAAGAAAUAAAACCAGAGAGAUUUAUAUUUUUUGCACAAUGAUAUGUAAACAUAAAGCAAUUAUGGAAUUAUUAAUAUAAAAGACUUCAAUGAAAUCACAUCCUGAUAAAAUUUUAAAGCAAUGAUAUCAGGAUUAUUUUAUGACAUUUUAUCCUCUCAAAUGGUCCAAUCCAGUCAAUGCUUAAGAAGCCACACCCACUUUCUUUCCCACACCCCACCCGUGCACUUGGGGAUGGAACCCAGGGCCUUCACACUGAGCUACAUCCCCAGCUCUACUUACUUAUUUAUUUUUAUUUUGAGAUCGGCCAAGGCAUGGUGGCACAUGCCUGUAAUCCCACCAGUCUGGGAAGCUAAGGCAGGAAGAUGGCAAGUUGAAGCCCACCUUGGGGCAAUUUAGCAAAUUCUCAAGUCCUUGUCUCAAAAGUUAAAAAUAAAAAGUACUGGGUAUAAAACAGUGCAAAAGCCCUGGGUUCAAUCCCCAGUACCACAUUUUCUUUUUUUUAAUUGAGAUAGGAUCUCACUAAAUUCCCCAAGCAAGACUUGAAUUUUUGAUCCUCCUGCCUCAGCCUCCCAGAGAGCUGAGAUUAUAGGUGUGUGCCACUGUACCCAGGGUCAUGCCCACUUUUUGCCAUGCACACUAAGAACCAGAGAGAAUAAACUUUAUGUUUGGUCUUAGCUCUCAACCACUUUCUUUAACCCCAUCCUGAAUCUUUAUUUCACCCAGGUCUAAGGUUAGGGGUGAGACUACAUUUAAGGGAAUAAGAAUCCUGAAAGAAAUAGUAUGAGAACAGGAACAAGCUUUAGGAUUCAGAGGCCAGUACAAGACAUGCUGGAUUCCAUUUCUUUUAGCUGACCCUCUAAUAGCUCUCCGAGGUAGGGCUUUUAUUUGUCUAUUCUCAAAGGCAAGAAUGGGGUCUGGGAUGUAACUCAGAGGCACACUGCUUGCUUAGCAUGCACUAGGCUCUGAGUUCAAUUCCCAGGCCUGCAAAAGAAGGGCGAAAGUAAGAAUUCCAGUAACUAUUAAAGUAAGGGUUCCAGUAGCUAUUACAGAAAGAAUUCAUAUACUCAGGGCUAGGCGUAUAAAUAAGCACGUGGACAGACACCUGGUCUAUGUGAAUAAAAGCAAGGUGGACACUACUGAUUUCAUAUGUGUUUCGCUGAAUCACACAUCAGAUUAAACACCUACGGGGACCUUGGCUUCUCGCUAGAAUCUUUGUAUUCUAACUUGACAUCGUGCCUCUAGUCCUUCCCUAUUUUUUCUUUCUCUCCAUUUUCUUGAACCAUGCAUGACAGCUACACCCUCAGCCCCCUUAUCCAUUUUUCCACACUCUGGGCCCCAACAUGGUUCUACUUCCUAUCCCAUGAAGAAUGUUUUCAUUCAGUUUGCCUCCUAAAUAGGAGCCGGACACGAAUCACAAAACACAUGCUCCAGUACGCACACACAUUCUUCCUUCUUUCCCCUCUGAAUUCCUAGCACCCAGCCCAGGUAAGUAUUUCACUCAUCUUGCACCUAAAUCCUCCCUGAUGAUUUUCCAUUGAUAAAGGAAACUGCUAUUUGUGGGCUAUUGCACUCUUUUCUUUGUCACAGGACCCAGCCAUGGUUACUUUCACAUUCUCCCCAGAGCCCACAUAGCGAGCUUGGCACAUGGCAAGAACCUGAUGGAUAUCUGUGGUUAGUCAACUAUUCAUCUGAUGGAUGACUCUCUGGUUUGGCCUCUCAUUUUCCAGGGAGGGCCUGGCCAUCUCUGAAGAGGCAGUUAACACCUGAAAAAAGAAAAGAAACAAGUAGC